UUAUCCUCCCUCAAACCCCGGGUUUGGUGUUGGACCCGAGUUGUGCAUCUGAACAACUGGUCUCAAAGACAAUGACGGCGUCCGUGGGACCCUCGGUGCAACGAGCUUUUAGGAGCACGCGUCGAGUUUCAAGGUCCUCCCGGGCCGGUCUCCUUCUUUUACUUUUUAAGGUUGACCUCGGAUCAGGUAGGAAUACCCGCUGAACUUAAGCAUAUCAAUA
rnacentral:rRNA from 1 species